AUUAAAAAUUUAUUAGUUUUAUAAAUUUUACAAAAGUAGUUCAUUAUUUUGAAUUUUACAGAUUCGAUCUGGAUAUUCAGAAAACUAAUCAAAAUACCCUUAUUUCUUUAUCUCUCUUCUUUUUUUUCUCUCGUCCUUACUUUUAUUCUCUCCGAAGAGGGUGGCGGAGGCGGAGGCGGCCCACCUCGCCUCAGACCCGCGCGCCCUCGCCCUCCCGCCCUCCUCGCCUCCGACCCUACUGAGGCCGCAUUGCGAUUCUCUUUUUUUUUAAUAGUUGAAGGAAGAGAAGGAGAAUGAGAAGAAAUAGUAUAAUUAUCUUCCAAAUGGUGCAACUUUCGUUUUAAUAGUAUAACUUUUAUCUUAAAGAGUACAGUUUAUAUAUCAAAGAAUGUAACUUACGUCUAUAACAAUGCAACGUUCUUUUAAAAUAGUGUAACUUUAUCUUAACAGUAUAAUUUCAUCUUUAUCUUCUUUCUUCUCUAGUUCUUCUUUCUUAUUCUCUAGUUUUGGCCUUUAAUUUUUUUUUUUAUUUUAGUAAACAAAAAUAUUUGAUCAGAGAUAUUACAGUGAAGGUGAAAAUGGAGGGCGGAGAAAAGUUGGGUGUAGAAGAAGCAUAAGGAGAAAUGGAGAUGAAAAUGGAGGGCGGAGAGAAGUUGGGCAUAGAAGAAGCAUGAGGAAGCGGAGGGAAAGGAGGAGGAGGAGGAGGAGGAGGAGGAGGAGGAAAAACAGUGUACAUCUCCCAAAGAGUACAAUUUUUAUUUAGUGUAACUUUCAUCUUAAAAGAUGCAAUUUACAGUUCAAAGAGUACAACUUACAUCUAUAACAGCGCAAAGUUCUUCUAAAGCAGUGCAACUUUAUUUU
rnacentral:lncRNA from 1 species